UGGGGAAGGGUUUCUUUCUGGAGAUCUCUUUUUUGUAGUGCUUUUCAUUGCAAGCCUAAAUCUUCAGGUACAGGAGCUUCCUAGAGUCACGGUGGCACAGCUGGAGUCACCAGUCAUUUCCAGAUGGAGCUAUGAGGAUUGUUGAGAAUACAUCCAGCUGGAAAAGUGCCAGAAGCAUCACUCAUGUCAUGCAAGAAGAAAGACUUAGAGAGUCCUGGGCUCCCUUCAUGGAACAGUGGUCUUUAUCCCCUUACCAGUAAACUGAGAGAUGUAAUAAUCUCUCCACUUCUGUUCUGGCAGCAAGAACAAUACUAACGAAGCAUUUGGCUACUGCUGGCCCCCGAACAGCCCUGCACAUUUAAGUCCUGAGGUAUGUGAAAGGCUCAAAGAUUUGUUUUUACCUCAGCUUCUCUGCUUAUGGAUAUUAAAAUUUACUCUGACCUUUUGGUUCCUUUCACAAUGUGACCAUUUUCAGGCAUCAUUUUGACCAAAUCACAUAUUGUACAAGAGUAAGUUUUCUUCCCCCUCCCCCCCCCUUUAUUUUUUUUUCUUUUUUCCCAUUACCAAUAAUGGUCUUUGAAAGAAGAAGUGGCAAAAGAAAAAUUACAAUAUACGUUGUACUAGGCAUUGCAUCUGAUUGUUUUUUUCACUGGGGAUAUACUAAGAUAAAACUGAAACUGUAUGGAAAGAAUGAAGAAAAGCAGAAAUGUUCACACAUGGUAGCAGUUGGAUGGAAGGCAGGCCAUCCAUCAGUAAAUAUCCAUUAGG